rfam:Schistosoma haematobium scaffold1791_8, whole genome shotgun sequence.
AGCCAGCUGACGAGUCUUUAAUACGACGAAAUGCGCAUCCUAGGU